CAUUUAGAGCAGCCAGCGUGAAGAGCUGUGUAUGGAUAACAUUAUUACUCACCGAAGCGCCUAAGCACAGGGUUGCCCCAGUGACUCAGAAGACACAUGGACGGGGCAGGUGAACUGGGCGCAGGGGACUUACUUACCCGCCAGCAGAGGGGGUGUGAGAUCUCAGGUCAUUUGAACCAAGGAGAGGGUGAGCAAGACAGCAGAGGCUGCAAGAUCAAGGAGGAUGCUGAAGGUGGUGGUCCUGCAUCUUACGCUCACGUUUUCCAGGAGGUAAUGGGCUCCACCUGGAGGCCAGGAGGAGGAGGUGCUGACCAUCUCAUCACUGCCGGCUCCUCAUCCCAGGAAGGACCUUGGUGUAGAUCUGCUCCCCCAUGUUCUUCUCUCUCUCUCUCUCUCUCUCUCUCUCUCUCUCUCUCUCUCUCCCUCUCCCUCUCUCUCCUCUCUUUCUCUCUCUCGUUCAAAUAAUUCAAAAGUGGAAAAUGUCCAAACUCCAUUCUUCUUUCUGUUGAUUUUCAUGAGGCUAAAUUCAAAGGCGUAUUGGUCUUCCAUUUCAAACUGCCGUCUUCAGAUCCAUCCCACCCUUCACAGAAAGAAGAGACAGCAAUGCUGUUGAGUUCCCUAAUGUGUAUGCAGUGCAUCAACUAUGUCUUACUAAUUCUGGAGACAAUAAACUAGAACAAUCUGCCUUUGUUCUUUUGUAUAAAGCCAUGAAAUUAAAAGAGUAUGACUUUGUAAAA